GGGUCCGUAGCUCAGUCCGGUAGAGCAAGCGGCUCUUAACCGCUUGGUCCAGGGUUCGAAUCCCUGCGGGCCCG
rnacentral:tRNA from 1 species